AGUGAACGCUGGCGGUAGGCCUAACACAUGCAAGUCGAACGGCAGCACAGUAAGAGCUUGCUCUUACGGGUGGCGAGUGGCGGACGGGUGAGGAAUACAUCGGAAUCUACUUUUUCGUGGGGGAUAACGUAGGGAAACUUACGCUAAUACCGCAUACGACCUACGGGUGAAAGCAGGGGAUCUUCGGACCUUGCGCGAUUGAAUGAGCCGAUGUCGGAUUAGCUAGUUGGCGGGGUAAAGGCCCACCAAGGCGACGAUCCGUAGCUGGUCUGAGAGGAUGAUCAGCCACACUGGAACUGAGACACGGUCCAGACUCCUACGGGAGGCAGCAGUGGGGAAUAUUGGACAAUGGGCGCAAGCCUGAUCCAGCCAUACCGCGUGGGUGAAGAAGGACUUCGGGUUUUAAAGCCCUUUUGUUGGGAAAGAAAAGCAGCAGGUUAAUACCCCGCUGUUCUGACGGUACCCAAAGAAUAAGCACCGGCUAACUUCGUG
rnacentral:rRNA from 1 species